rnacentral:rRNA from 1 species
GAUGAACGCUGGCGGCGUGCCUAAUACAUGCAAGUCGAGCGAACAGACGAGGAGCUUGCUCCUCUGACGUUAGCGGCGGACGGGUGAGUAACACGUGGAUAACCUACCUAUAAGACUGGGAUAACUUCGGGAAACCGGAGCUAAUACCGGAUAAUAUAUUGAACCGCAUGGUUCAAUAGUGAAAGACGGUUUUGCUGUCACUUCUAGAUGGAUACGCGCCGCAUUAGCUAGUUGGUAAGGUAACGGCUUACCAAGGCGACGAUGCGUAGCCGACCUGAGAGGGUGAUCGGCCACACUGGAACUGAGACACGGUCCAGACUCCUACGGGAGGCAGCAGUAGGGAAUCUUCCGCAAUGGGCGAAAGCCUGACGGAGCAACGCCGCGUGAGUGAUGAAGGUCUUCGGAUCGUAAAACUCUGUUAUUAGGGAAGAACAAAUGUGUAAGUAACUAUGCACGUCUUGACGGUACCUAAUCAGAAAGCCACGGCUAACUACGUG